rnacentral:rRNA from 1 species
GCGUCGACCGGCGCACGGGUGAGUAACGCGUAUCCAACCUGCCCACCACUUGGGGAUAACCUUGCGAAAGUAAGACUAAUACCCAAUGAUAUCUCUAGAAGAACUCCUGAAAGAGAUUAAAGAUUUAUCGGUGAUGGAUGGGGAUGCGUCUGAUUAGCUUGUUGGCGGGGUAACGGCCCACCAAGGCAACGAUCAGUAGGGGUUCUGAGAGGAAGGUCCCCCACAUUGGAACUGAGACACGGUCCAAACUCCUACGGGAGGCAGCAGUGAGGAAUAUUGGUCAAUGGACGAGAGUCUGAACCAGCCAAGUAGCGUGCAGGAUGACGGCCCUAUGGGUUGUAAACUGCUUUUAUAAGGGAAUAAAGUGAGUCUCGUGAGACUUUUUGCAUGUACCUUAUGAAUAAGGACCGGCUAAUUCCGUGCCAGCAGCCGCGGUAAUACGGAAGGUCCGGGCGUUAUCCGGAUUUAUUGGGUUUAAAGGGAGCGUAGGCCGGAGAUUAAGCGUGUUGUGAAAUGUAGACGCUCAACGUCUGCACUGCAGCGCGAACUGGUUUCCUUGAGUACGCACAAAGUGGGCGGAAUUCGUGGUGUAGCGGUGAAAUGCUUAGAUAUCACGAAGAACUCCGAUUGCGAAGGCA